AUGGAUGUGAUGAAUAUUUCCCCAGAUGAUCGAAACUGAAAUAACUGAGCGCUUUUUAAUGUUUUUUCUCCUCUUUAGGGGAAAAUUCAAGCCAGAUAUUCUGAUCCAU
rfam:Solanum tuberosum cultivar DM 1-3 516 R44 scf00034_43, whole genome shotgun sequence.